rnacentral:lncRNA from 1 species
UUUUUUUGAGAGGAUUAAUAUUCAACAGCAUAGUGAAUUGCUCAAAGGCAAAACAUUUUUUUUAAGUUCAUUAGACCACAUUCAUUCUGUGUCAGAAACCUAUGCUGUGUCAACUAUUUAAUCACAAUCCAAAUUUAGAGCUGAAUCCAGCUUGAAUGUUGUGUCCAUACUUGCCCCAACCGUUCAGGGUUCAACCUCUGCGGUCGUAUAAAGCUGCGCCCUGCGGAGCAUCUGGUCUAGAUAAUGUUUAAUCUACGAUCUCAAAUGUUCCACAAGGUAUACAUCAUUAAUAGGCUGUUAUGCAGGCUUUGACAAAACCAUGAAAUAAAAUAUUUAUGAAAAUUUUUUGUUUUUCUUCAAUUCAUGCAAAUUUGUACCAGUUAUCUUCCAAAAUAAAUUAAAAUCUUUAGACCAAUCAGGACCAAGCUUUGCCUGAAUCACCC